CCGCGAAUGGCUCAUUAAAUCAGCUAUGGUUCCUUAGAUCGUACAUGCUACAUGGAUAACUGUAGUAAUUCUAGAGCUAAUACAUGCCACUAUGCCCUGACCCGCAAGGGAACGGGUGGAUUUAUUAGAACAGAACCAACCGGGAUCGGCUUCGGCCGGUCCUGUUGCACUCUGUGAUGACUCUGGAUAACUUUACUGAUCGCAGUCGGCCUUGUGUCGGCGACGGAUCUUUCAAAUGUCUGCCCUAUCAACUUUCGAUGGUAGGUGAUCUGCCUACCAUGGUGAUAACGGGUAACGGGGAAUCAGGGUUCGAUUCCGGAGAGGGAGCCUGAGAAACGGCUACCACAUCCAAGGAAGGCAGCAGGCGCGAAAAUUACCCACUCCCGGCACGGGGAGGUAGUGACGAAAAAUACGAAUACGGGACUCACUCGAGGCUCCGUAAUUCGAAUGAGUACAAUCUAAAUCCUUUAACGAGGACCAAUUGGAGGGCAAGUCUGGUGCCAGCAGCCGCGGUAACUCCAGCUCCAAAAGCGUAUAUUAAAGUUGCUGCAGUUAAAAAGCUCGUAGUUGGAUCUGGGUCGCGCGUUCACAUGUCGUUUCCUGAUUCUGAUUUCGGUCAGUUUCAGGCGAUGGUAAAGUGGUCGUGCAGCCUUUCAGCCGUGUCUGCGUAAGCAGGUGUUGGCUGGCUGGUGGGCUUGCUCGCUGGCCAGUUGACAUGUUUCCUGAUGCCUUUAAACGGGUGUCGGGGGCGUACGGCACUUUUACUUUGAACAAAUUUGAGUGCUCAAAGCAGGCCCAUGUGCCUGAAAAGUCUUGCAUGGAAUAAUGGAAUAGGACUUCGGUUCUAUUUUGUUGGUUUCCGGAUCCGAAGUAAUGGUUAAGAGGAACAGACGGGGGCAUUUGUAUGGCGGCGUGAGAGGUGAAAUUCUAUGAUCGUCGCCAGACAAACUACAGCGAAAGCAUUUGCCAAGAAUGUUUUCAUUGAUCAGGAGCGAAAGUCAGAGGUUCGAAGACGAUCAGAUACCGUCCUAGUUCUGACCAUAAACGAUGCCAACUGACGAUCCGCGGCGGUUCUUUAAUUGGCCCCGCGGGCAGUCCCCGGGAAACCCUUAAGUCUUUGGGCUCCGGGGGAAGUAUGGUUGCAAAGCUGAAACUUAAAGGAAUUGACGGAAGGGCACCACCAGGAGUGGAGCCUGCGGCUUAAUUCGACUCAACACGGGAAAACUCACCCGGCCCGGACACUGUGAGGAUUGACAGAUUGAUAGCUCUUUCUUGAUUCGGUGGUUGGUGGUGCAUGGCCGUUCUUAGUUGGUGGAGCGAUUUGUCUGGUUAAUUCCGAUAACGAACGAGACUUUGACCUACUAAUUAGUUUGCCUAUCCUCUGUGCUCGUGCAGGUCUCGGUCUCAGUUGCCUCCUCGAGAGGUGGUGGGGUCGUGGAUCGGCGGGCACGGCGUGGUGCUUACUUCUUAGAGGGACAAGCGGCGCUAAAAAGUCGCACGAAAUUGAGCAAUAACAGGUCUGUGAUGCCCUUAGAUGUCCGGGGCCGCACGUGCGCUACAAUGACGGUGCCAGCGAGCAUGGAAACCUGGCCCGAAAGGGCUGGGCAAACUUUUCAUCACCGUCGUGACUGGGAUCGGGGCUUGCAAUUGUUCCCCGUGAACGAGGAAUUCCUAGUAAGUGCAAGUCAUAAGCUUGCGCUGAUUACGUCCCUGCCCUUUGUACACACCGCCCGUCGCUACUACCGAUUGAAUGGUUAAGCUGAGGUAAUCGGAUUGGUACUGUUUUAGCGGCUCUGUCGCUUGACUGGUAUCGAAAAGAUGACCAAACUUAAUCAUUUAGAGGAAGUAAAAGUCGUAACAAGGUUUCCGUAGGUGAACCUGCGGAAGGAUCAUUACAAGUCCCUAUCUGAAACUUAUCGGGCUCGGUCUCGGCCGGGUUCGGAUCUAAUUGGCGCGUUCGGCUGGCAAUUGCGUUGGUCGGGCGUGUCAAGGAAUUGACGGAUGGGUUCCCAUAAAGAGCCCGCGGAUUACAUCUAUAUGGAAUUGACGGAUGAGCCCUCUACUUGUAGAGGGAUCGCGGUAUCCUUGGCCAUACCUGAUUUGUAGUGGACUUGUUCUGCUGCAUCUCAUAAGUAUGGCCCGUAUUAAGGUGGGGUGCCUAUCCUGUCUGAUACUCUUGUGGUUGACUCGUGCAUCCUAAGAGUGAUGGGACAGUACUGUAUCUAUCUCAGUGCAAGGCUCCAAGAGAGGUGUGGACUACUUGUCCUACCUCCGCCCCACCUUGUUGUUUCUACUACCAUUCUUACACUGUUUAAGUUGGUUGGGUCGGUUCGUCCGGUCUGGCUAGCUGCCCAUAGCAUGCCUCUGGUCAUCUUGUAUGACUGGUCCGCAUGUACAGUCGCCUGGCGGUGCCUCAUCCUGGGCUAGACUGCAAACCUAUAUGUUCCUGUCUUCUCGGUUUACCGGGUUGGUGGGGGCAUUACAGUACAACUCUGAGCGGUGGAUCACUCGGCUCGUGUGUCGAUGAAGAGUGCAGCCAACUGUGUGAAUUAAUGUGAACUGCGUACUGCUUUGAGCAUCGACAUCUUGAACGCAUAUUGCGGCCGCGGGAUAUCCCGUGGCCACGUCUGGCCGAGGGUCGGCUUAUCACUUAUCACGACGCCCAAAAAGUCGUGGCCUGGAAGUUGUGCCAGCUGGCGUGAUUUCUCCACUUUGUGGGGUGCUGUGCUAUGGCUCCUUCCUAAUGUGUCCGGUUGCACCCAGCCUGGGAUUUGGUUUCCAAGUUGGGAUGUGGCGUUGGAUAUUGCAUGAGUCGUGGCUCAAUGAUUUGAUCGCGCUCGUGUUCUGUUCGCGUCAUGUUCCUGUUUGGUUAUCUACUUUCUGGGAUGAGGCUAUGUGACUGAUGCGGCCUGCUUGAUGCAGCCAAGCCAUAUUUAUGACCCUGACCUCGGAUCAGAUGCGAAUACCCGCUGAACUUAAGCAUAUCACUAAGCGGAGGAAAAGAAACUAACCAGGAUUCCCCUAGUAACUGCGAGUGAAGGGGGAUUAGCCCAGCACCGAAGCCUGUGGCCAUUUGGCUGCUAGGCAAUGUGGUGUUUAGGUCGUCUCUUGGCAUUACUGCUCCAUCCUAAGUCCAGCACUGAGUAUGGCAUCUGGAAUGGCCCAUGGAGGGUGGAAGGCCCGUGGGGGUGGAGAUCAAGUCGGACAGUUUUGCCCUGAGUAGACCUUGGAGUCGGGUUGUUUGUGAAUGCAGCCCAAAGCGGGUGGUAAACUCCAUCCAAGGCUAAAUACUAGCACGAGUCCGAUAGCGAACAAGUACCGUGAGGGAAAGUUGAAAAGUACUUUGAAGAGAGAGUUAACAGUGCGUGAAACCGCUCAGAGGUAAACGGGUGGAGUUGAACUGUAAGCUCCGGGGAUUCAGCUGGUGAGUGUGUCAUGGGCUUGGUCAUUUUCGGCCGGCCUCUAGAGUCCGCUUAGCUGCGGGUCCCUGCUUCUUCGGGAGUAGGGGUGCGCGUCGCGCUUGUCAAGUGCUGUGCGCUCUGGAGGUUGCCGGGCUGGCUCGCCGGUGCACUUUCUCGGAGUGGUCACCACGACCGGCGCUGUUGUCUUGCUGCUGUAGUCGAACCGGUCAGAUUUGGUCCUUGUGGCUGAACUUGAUCGGGAUGGCAGGUAGCUCAUUGGUUGGCUUGUCCAGUCUUUGGGUGUAAUCAGCUGGCUGCAGUGGUAUUGUGCAAUGCGUCGGAGACGGCGGCUCGAGGUAUGUGCUUGUGUUCCGUUGGUUGGCGGUAUCGGGUUUGGCUGGCGUGUUACCUGCUUCGGUGGGUCCGUUGGUGGCUCGGUGCUGUUUGGCUAGCGGUUGCACUUGUGAUACCGCCCAUGGGCCCAUAGUCUGUGGUGUAGCAGCAAACGAUCCACCUGACCCGUCUUGAAACACGGACCAAGGAGUUUAACAUGUGCGCGAGUCAUUGGGCGUUACGAAACCCAAAGGCGUAGUGAAAGUAAAGGCUUGGCUUGUCUGAGCUGAGGUGAGAUCCUGUGGCUUCUCGCGCGAGGUACCACCAAGCAUGUGAGUCAUAGGCGCAUCACCAGCCCGUCUCAUGGUGUAGUCUUGCAGCCUUGUGUUGCUUGCGACACCGGGGCGGAGCCUGAGCGCACACGUUGAGACCCGAAAGAUGGUGAACUAUGCUUGCGGAGGUUGAAGCCAGAGGAAACUCUGGUGGAGGACCGCAGCGAUUCUGACGUGCAAAUCGAUCGUCUAACGUGAGUAUAGGG
rnacentral:rRNA from 1 species